rnacentral:lncRNA from 1 species
ACUAGAGCAGCAGUGAGUGGGCAUGUUGAGGAAUGGCUUAACAGGGCCAUAUGGUAGGUUCAUUUUUCAUGGUUUGAUUGCCAGAGUGGCUGAACCAGUUUGCAAUCCUGUCAUAGUGAGUGAGGGUUCCCUCUUCUCCACAACCUUCCAGCCUUGUCAGUUUGUUCUGUUGAUCUUUGCUGUUCUGACUGGGGUGGGAUCAAAUCUCAAAGAUGUUUUGGUUUGCACUUCCCUAAUUGCUAGGGAUGUGAGUACUUUAAAAAUAUUUCUUAGCCAAUUUUUUGUUCUUUUUUUGAGAACUUUCUGUUCAUGUUACAGGCCCAGUUUUUGAAU